rnacentral:tmRNA from 1 species
UUCUUAAACUUAAGGUAACUCGCUUUUAUAUUUGCUUGCUUGUUGGUGAAGUAAAAGUUAAACAUAAACAACAUAGCUAAGUAUGUAGAACUGUCUGCAGAGGGCUUGCGGACGGGGGUUCGAUUCCCCCCAGCUCCACCA